rnacentral:rRNA from 1 species
UGGGCGAAAGCCUGAUCCAGCCAUGCCGCGUGUGUGAAGAAGGUCUUCGGAUUGUAAAGCACUUUAAGUUGGGAGGAAGGGCAGUAAGUUAAUACCUUGCUGUUUUGACGUUACCGACAGAAUAAGCACCGGCUAACUUCGUGCCAGCAGCCGCGGUAAUA